UUUUACUGCCUGAAACAUGCAAUUAUCUCAUCUGACAAGUCUCUACAGAACAGGAAGGAGGCCUCAUCUACAGGUGUCACGUCACCUGAAGCAGAGGUGGACAGACAGAGCUGCACAGCGUAGGACAGACCUCUGUAGGGUUUAUAUUGAUCUAUGUAUUACAAGUCACCAUGAUUCAUCAAUGAAGUUACCAAUCGUGGCAGCUGUUGAGAUUGUGCAGUGACUCUCGCCUGAUAACAGACACAUGUCCUGCAGCUUAUCAGCCAUCACGACUCGUCCCAUAAACAUUGAUUCAGAAAUCAAAUAACGGAGAACAAACAACAGGACUGAUGCUGCUGGUAGUGAUUAUAUGACUCAACACUGAGCUAGAAAGCUGUGUAUUUGACUCUGAUGUGUGAGCCUGUCAUAGCUGAGCUGUCCCUAAGCAACCUUUACCAAUGGAGUUGAUGAGCUACAUGAUGAGCAACACCAGGUGGUCAUGAAGGCAGAGAUGGACAGGCCUAGUGGAUUACAAUGUCCAGACACACACAACAGACACAACGUAUAGAAGCAGCAAUUCCAU
ensembl:lncRNA